rnacentral:rRNA from 1 species
ACGACGUAGAUGUUACUAGUUGUUGGGGAACUUGUUCUUUGGGUGGCACCUCUCACGCAUAAGUUGACCCCCUGGGGAGUACGGUCGCAAGAGUUGACUCCAAGAAAUGACGGGGACCCGCACAAACGGUGGAUGAUGUGGAUUAAUUUCAUGCAACGCGAAAAAACUUACCUACCCUUGACAUGCCAUUAGAGAAUUUCCAGAGAUGGAUCUCUUCCCUUCAAAAACUGGAACACAGGUGCUGCAUGGCUGUCGUCCUUCGGGUCGGGGAAGGUUGGGUUAAGUCCCGCAACAAGGGCAACCCUCUCCCUUAGUUACCAUCAUUUACUUGGGGACUCUAAUGGAACCGACGGUGAUAAGCCGGAGGAAGGUGAGGAUGACUCCUAGUGCUCCUGGUGCUUACGCGUUGGGCUACACACGUGGUACGAUGCCGAUGACUGGGGACAGCAAACUCGCGAGCUAAUCGCAAAUCUCCAAUCGCCGUCUCGGAUCGAAUUGUGCUCUGCAACUGCGAGAGCAUGAGAAUCGGAAUCUAUUCGUAAUAUCGGAAUUGCCAUGCCGAGGUGAAUACGUUCCCUUGCCUUGUACACCCCGCCCGCCACGCCAUGGGAGUUGGCUUCACCCGAUAGCCUAACGCUAACUCGGAAGAAAUACCACGCGACCACUUCGGGCUUAGCGAGUGGCGUGAACUCGUAACCGUAAAACCGUAA